GAUCUUAGUACACUUCUAUGUAAAUGUCCACACUCUAACAACAUUAAAUUGCUAAUAUAAAAAAUUAAUUAGCUUAGAAAAAAAAGCAUAAAAAAAUAAUAACUAUAAUAUAAAUUAAUACAAAGAUACAUUACUAAUCAAUUUAGGUACAAGGUACAAUCAUUUAUUAAAAUCUAUUAAUUUUACUAAAAACUAUUAUUUUUA
rnacentral:lncRNA from 1 species